rnacentral:lncRNA from 1 species
GUAUUCCACCCCUUGAUGAUGACUUGAAGCGACAAGGCAAUUCCAGACGAUUCGAAAGUGAAGCAGCUGGGCGCCGGGAUUCUUUUCAGAUAUCGAAAGAACAAUGACUUCCAUCUACCCUAAGGCCUGAACCAACUUUCCCUCUCAACAUCUUCGUCACGAAAAUCUUCUCCAUCUGCCUCGAUCUUUUGAUCUGCAUCUCGUGUCGUUAAAGGGAGGAAAAGAGAAACUACGAGAUUUCACCAAACGUCGGCAGAGAGACGAAUAAAAACCGCUCAUUUUGAACGCGUGAGAGACGCAAACAACAACAAUACGAACGUUCUACACACACUUGGCUUGUAGGGCGAGUUCACAGCCUACACCGCAACGAUGACUGUGUCGUCGUCUUUGAAAAGCCAAUUAAACUAGGACCGUUACACAGUCUCAAAACAGGUCUAGUUGGCUCGUUUUUUGGGGUUGGCAGCACAGGCGACCUGGUCGUUCGGCAUAGAAAUUGGCCCGUGACCGAAAAGGGUAGGUUCCACGACAUUCACGAAAAACAAAUGAAAACAGCAAUGAGCAAUGCAUAGCAAAACAAGUAAAAACGUGGCAAAAGCUGCGUAAAGAUCCAGUUUCGAUUCGUUGAAUUUCUCAAACGAAAUGUCAAAUGAAGACGACAGUCAUUCCAAAACAAUGAUAAGAGGAAAAAACCGGUGGAUAUUACCCAUUUUUUUUACAUUUUAACAAUCUUUUUUCGGACUUUGGUGGUGUCACCUUUAUUUCUGUUGGUGACGCGACUCUGUUGUCUGAGAAACGGAAGGAAGGCACCGCUUUUUAUUACCCCCUGCAAGUAUUUUCCCCUUCCCCAAAGAAAUUGUCGUCUCAUCACUUUGUUGUCAUUGUUGUUUAUUUUGCCCUUCAAUGACAAAAGCUUCCUUGCAUUUAAUUCCAUUCCUGCAUACGUUCAUCAAACCCCUCCCACUUUUAUCCCUCAAACACAUAAAAGUUUAUUCUUCUUCCCACAGACAACUUCAUUUUUGCCUUUUUCAUGAAAAACAGAUUUUAAAAAAAAUUGUUUUGUUUCGUGAAAAGGGAAUUUCCGGUUUAUAAUAUACUCGUGACACGAUCAAAUCGUUCCACCGUGAAAAAACAACAAGAAAAGAAUGUCGUAAUGGGCUACUAAUGUGCUGUCGCAACGCGUUGUUCUUUUGUUUGACAAUAUGGUCGGCCAUCAUGCGAUCUUGAAUACAAAAAUUUCUGUUUCCAUAAUCCAAGGUAUUUCUGUUGAACAGCUUAAGAAGAAGAAAAAAAUAAACGCCCAGAUAGUUUAAUAUUUUCUAUAAAGCUAGUACGCCAUGCAGGUGACUUUCAAUUUAUUAAGAAACCCUCCCCCAUGCGAAUUCCCUACUGCAUACCAGUAUCGUGUUUCUGAAUCAUAGAUUUAGCAAACUGGAUUGAACAGGUUUAGAUGUUCGGAGAAACAAGGGUUUAUUGUGGCUCUCUGCAAUCACUCCAUUGAAAAGUACGAGGAGAGCAAUUUGAGGGGAAUUUCCCAUAGCUCCUGAACGACACCCUUUAAUGUGUAUGAUAGUGGAUAGCACAAUUGUACACCUGUUAUCCAUCCAUCCGUUUGAGAAUAAAUGAUUUCUCCACAACAGGUUUUUCAAUUGGAGAAAAUGUGAUAGAAGAUAAAAUUCCAAUAAGUAAUGUCUUCCAUUCCAUUAGUUAAAAUGGUCCAACAUCAAACACCUUGAAAGUUCAAGAAACGAAACAAAAAACCAGUCAUAGCUCAUUUUUCUUUCUCUCUUUUUUUUUUACUUUGUUUUCCCGCUUUAUACAAAACAAAGCCCUGUGUCAGGUACGACGAGUCACCGGAGAUGAAGGUCUAACAAAAAACACACCUGCUUCCGCCACUUCAUCCAUGUCGUCAUCCCCCCCUUCACCAUCUCUUACUCAUUUGGCUAGAUAGCCGGAUGCACGUGGAAGGGUGGCUGCCGUAGUGUUCUACACGGCAUUGUAGAUGAUGGAAUACGUGGGAAUGAAAGAAGAAAAGAAAAAAAUGGCAGCACUAACAAUAUGAGAGCGUGACGAAUAACGACGAUGGAAUAAUUAUCUCGACUGUAUCCCCCCCCCCCUCUCUUUAUGCCUCUUGGAUAGAACUCUUCUAUAUUUAUAUUUUGAAUUUACGUUUCUUUUUUCUUUUAGGAAAAGAAAAGGAGAAAAGCCGUUGCAAUAGGAUCAGAACCGGGCUUCGGUUUGAAUUAUUCAACGCCCACCACCACCAUCACGACCACUCGUUCUCCUUGGGGAUUCAAAUCAGAUCAGAAAGAAAAAAGAAACGAAUGAAAAACAAGCCCGAUAAUGUCAAGGAUACAUGAGUCACGAGAUCGGUCCCGUGCGUUCAUUUAUUUCGCUUUUCUUCGAACGCGUUUUCCAAAUAACUGAAAGCUGAGAUACUGCUCAUUAUUGAACGAUUUGAUGGAGGGUUGGAGGGGCUUUCUCUUUCCUUCUCGUCCUAAAGUCGUGGCGUCGUAUGCGCCGUGGGGGGGAAUCGAGGUUCCCACGCCCAACAAGGUUUUGAACCUAACCCGGUAACACCACCAUCACUGCAGCCAGCCAAGGAGAACCAGAGGCCCGUAAGAAAAUUCGAAAAGGUAGGGCCGAUGGGGGGGAGAAAGGGUCAUCCUCUCUCUCGCCCAGGCACCAAAAGCUACACACGCAUAUACGCCAGGUGGGUGGAAAUGGAGGAGAAGGAAAAGAUGGAAAACAGGUAUGAAAACGGACGCCCUCUGGCCAGAAAGCCCUUAUACAGGUUAUAACAACGAAAGUAUCAGAGAGGAGGGCCGGGAAGACCCUCAGGUGAGUCUCCCUCGACUAUAAGAGUUGCCCUUUUUUCGUAUUUUUUUUUUUUACUAUUCUUUUUCCUCUUCGUUCCCUUCCCUCUCUCUCAUUCUUGGAGGAAACUAAAAAAGAAGCUUGUCACACUCACACACUUUUUUGUGUGUGGGGGAAGAUAAACCCAAAUCAACAUUGGCGAAAUGGUGGAAGAAAGAAGAAUAAGAAGAAAAACAGGUAUAUGGAAAAGAGAAUACGAAGCCGUACACCCCUGCUAGAUCUUCCAACUUCCGCCGAAUUCCCCCCAAAAAAAGAUAGGCCAACAUUCCAAACCGAUUUCUCAUCACAGCAACAAAACAUUUCCAGAUUUGGUGUACUUAAUCAUAUAAUCAAUAUACUUUAAUCAAAAGGCU